rnacentral:tRNA from 1 species
CAGAGUGUAGUAUAACAUAGAUAAGACAUUUCCCUUACACUGAAAAGACAUCCGUGCAAACCGGAUCACCCUGA